GAUGAACGCUGGCGGCGUGCCUAAUACAUGCAAGUCGAGCGAACGGACGAGAAGCUUGCCUCUCUGAUGUUAGCGGCGGACGGGUGAGUAACACGUGGAUAACCUACCUAUAAGACUGGGAUAACUUCGGGAAAACGGAGCUAAAACCGGCUAAUCUUUUGAACCGCAUGGUUCAAAAGUGAAAGACGGUCUUGCUGUCACUUAUAGAUGGAUCCGCGCGGCAUUAGCUAGUUGGUAAGGUAACGGCUUACCAAGGCAACGAUGCAUAGCCGACCUGAGAGGGUGAUCGGCCACACUGGAACUGAGACACGGUCCAGACUCCUACGGGAGGCAGCAGUAGGGAAUCUUCCGCAAUGGGCGAAAGCCUGACGGAGCAACGCCGCGUGAGUGAUGAAGGUCUUCGGAUCGUAAAACUCUGUUAUUAGGGAAGAACAUAUGUGUAAGUAACUGUGCACAUCUUGACGGUACCUAAUCAGAAAGCCACGGCUAACUACGUG
rnacentral:rRNA from 1 species